rnacentral:lncRNA from 1 species
GGAUAACGACAAUCGCGACGAUUUUUAUAAUAAUAGGAGAUACGCAUGCAUACGCAUAGCGUAAGUGCGAUCUUUUUGUUGAUUUGAUCAACCCGACCAUCUUCGUGAUAGGUUUCGAACCGAUUAAAUCUGACAUCAAAUCGUCACUUCCGCCGUGCAUAUGUAUUGUUACUCUCCAAACCGUGCGGGCCAUCUUCAUGAUAGGCUCGACGUGGUCGAAAAGAUUAAUCGAGCGGCCUUCUUUGUGAUAGGCUCGACACGAUUAAACUCCACAUAUUUGAACAAAACGUGACAAUAAAAGAAAUUGGACGGGUUCUAUUUUGAUUCGUCAUUUUCGUUCGAUUCAAUCGUUUUACUUGACAUGAUCAAUUUCGUAUAUUUAGACUUAAAAAAAAAGAGAGAUGAAUAUAAAAAUAAUAAAAAAAAGGAGUUAUCC